rnacentral:rRNA from 1 species
AGCGAACGCUGGCGGCAGGCCUAACACAUGCAAGUCGAACGGAUCCUUCGGGAUUAGUGGCGGACGGGUGAGUAACACGUGGGAACGUGCCUUUUGGUUCGGAACAACUCAGGGAAACUUGAGCUAAUACCGAAUGUGCCCUUCGGGGAAGGAUUAUCGCCAUUAGAGCGGCCCGCCGUCUGAUUAGCUAGUUGGUGGGGUAAAGGACUCACCAAGGCUACGAUCAGUAGCUGGUCUGAGAGGAUGAUCAGCCACAUUGGGACUGAGACACGGCCCAAACUCCUACGGGAGGCAGCAGUGGGGAAUCUUGCGCAAUGGGCGAAAGCCUGACGCAGCCAUGCCGCGUGAAUGAUGAAGGUCUUAGGAUUGUAAAAUUCUUUCUACCGGGGACGAUAAUGACGGUACCCGGAGAAGAAGCCCCGGCUAACUUCGUGCCAGCAGCCGCGGUAAGGUGACGCUCU